UCGAGCGAGUCUGCCUUGAAGAUCGGAGUGCUUGCACUCUGUGAAACAAGAUACAGGCUAGCGGCGGACGGGUGAGUAACACGUGGGUAACCUGCCCAAGAGAUCGGGAUAACACCUGGAAACAGAUGCUAAUACCGGAUAACAACAGAUGAUGCCUAUCAACUGUUUAAAAGAUGGUUCUGCUAUCACUCUUGGAUGGACCUGCGGUGCAUUAGCUAGUUGGUAGGGUAACGGCCUACCAAGGCGAUGAUGCAUAGCCGAGUUGAGAGACUGAUCGGCCACAUUGGGACUGAGACACGGCCCAAACUCCUACGGGAGGCAGCAGUAGGGAAUCUUCCACAAUGGACGCAAGUCUGAUGGAGCAACGCCGCGUGAGUGAAGAAGGGUUUCGGCUCGUAAAGCUCUGUUGUUGGUGAAGAAGGACAGGGGUAGUAACUGACCUUUGUUUGACGGUAAUCAAUUAGAAAGUCACGGCUAACUACGUGCCAGCAGCCGCGGUAAUACGUAGGUGGCAAGCGUUGUCCGGAUUUAUUGGGCGUAAGGCGAGUGCAGGCGGUUCGAUAAGUCUGAUGUGAAAGCCUUCGGCUCAACCGGAGAAUUGCAUCAGAAACUGUCGAGCUUGAGUACAGAAGAGGAGAGUGGAACUCCAUGUGUAGCGGUGAAAUGCGUAGAUAUAUGGAAGAACACCGGUGGCGAAGGCGGCUCUCUGGUCUGUUACUGACGCUGAGGCUCGAAAGCAUGGGUAGCGAACAGGAUUAGAUACCCUGGUAGUCCAUGCCGUANACGAUGAGUGCUAAGCGUUGGGAGGUUUCCGCCUCUCAGUGCUGCAGCUAACGCA
rnacentral:rRNA from 1 species